UAUUCUCAACUCCACCAGCUUUUGUGGCUGGCUCUUGGAGCUUGGAUGUGGAGGUUUUGGUGGCCACUUCCCCGUGGUCAGCUCCUCUGAAAUACAUUAGCGGAACCGUUUGCGAUCCGUCACAGGUGUGAUAAUUAUCUACGCCUAGUGGGUUGCUCUCUGUCUUGUUCAGCUCAUAAUGGUCCUGUGACAUGGACAAACCUUAUAAUGAAC
rnacentral:misc_RNA from 1 species